UACGGGGGGGGCAAGCGUUGUUCGGAAUUACUGGGCGUAAAGGGCUCGUAGGCGGCCAACUAAGUCAGACGUGAAAUCCCUCGGCUUAACCGGGGAACUGCGUCUGAUACUGGAUGGCUGGAGAUUGGGAGAGGGAUGCGGAAUUCCAGGUGUAGCGGUGAAAUGCGUAGAUAUCUGGAGGAACACCGGUGGCGAAGGCGGCGUUCUGGACUGCAACUGACACUGAGAGACGAAAGCCAGGGGAGCAAACGGG
rnacentral:rRNA from 1 species